CCUACGGGAGGCAGCAGUGAGGAAUAUUGGUCAAUGGGCGGGAGCCUGAACCAGCCAAGCCGCGUGAGGGAAGAAGGUACAGCGUAUCGUAAACCUCUUUUGUCAGGGAACAAAGGCGGGGACUAGUCCCCGGAUGAGGGUACCUGAAGAAAAAGCAUCGGCUAACUCCGUGCCAGCAGCCGCGGUAAUACGGAGGAAGCGAGCGUUAUCCGGAUUUAUUGGGUUGAAAGGGUGCGCAGGCGGCGUGUUAAGUCAGCGGGAAAAGCCGGGGGCUAAACUCCGGCGAGCCGUUGAAACUGGCGGGCUGGAGUUGGAGAGAGGUACGCGGAAUGCGCGGUGUAGCGGUGAAAUGCUUAGAUAUCGCGCAGAACCCCGAUUGCGAAGGCAGCGUACCGGCUCCACACUGACGCUGAGGCACGAAAGCGUGGGUAUCGAACAGGAUUAGAUACCCUUGUAGUC
rnacentral:rRNA from 1 species